GUGAACGCUAAAAGUAUGCAUAACACAUGCGAGUUAAACAUAAAUUUAUUUGUGGAUUUAUGUAGCAAACGGGUGAGUAAUGCAAAAGAAAUCUACCCUUUUACUAUAAGUUUAAUACUUUAAAAUAUGGAAUAUAUGGCUUUUCAUAUUUAAGAGAAUAAUAGAGCUUUGAAAAAGGAUGAGCUUUUGUAGGAUUAGGUUGUUGGUGUGGAUAAAAGCCGACCAAGCCUUCGAUCCUUAGCUGAAUUGAGAGAUUGUACAGCCACAUUGGAACUGAGACAAGGUCCAGGCUUCUGAUAGCCAGCAGUGAGGAAUACUGGGCAAUGAGCGAAAAGCUUGACCCGGCAAUAUUAUGAGGGAUGAAAUGAAGGCUAUUUAAGCUGUAAAAUCCUAUUAUUUGAGUAUAUCAUGACAUUAACUCAAAUGAAAUAAAGUCCCGGCUAAACUUCGU
rnacentral:rRNA from 1 species